UACGUAGGGGGCAAGCGUUAUCCGGAUUUACUGGGUGUAAAGGGAGCGUAGACGGCGAUGCAAGUCUGAAGUGAAAGCCCGGGGCUCAACCCCGGGACUGCUUUGGAAACUGUAUGGCUGGGGUGCUGGAGAGGCAAGCGGAAUUCCUAGUGUAGCGGUGAAAUGCGUAGAUAUUAGGAAGAACACCAGUGGCGAAGGCGGCUUGCUGGACAGUAACUGACGUUGAGGCUCGAAAGCGUGGGGAGCAAACAGG
rnacentral:rRNA from 1 species